rnacentral:lncRNA from 1 species
AUUAGAAUAAAAAAAAAAUGCAGACUUAUCCUCCAUUUUCAAUUGAAAGUCAAAGAUUUAAUCAGGAUACUUAUUUUGGUAGACUUCAAAGAUGUUUUGAUAUAGUUGAUCCAAGAACAUUGUUUGUAUCUGAAAAAACACUUCAAGAUUCCAUAAAAAUGAUUGAAGAUUUUAAGAAAGGAGAACGCAAUCAACUUACAGAUGCUCAGCUAUGGCGUGCUCGAAAGAUUAAAGAGG